UACGUAGGCAGCGAGCGUUGUUCGGAGUUACUGGGCGUAAAGCGUGCGUAGGCGGUGUUCCAAGUCUGUUGUGAAAUCUCCCGGCUUAACCGGGAGGGUGCGGCGGAAACUGGGAUGCUGGAGUGCGGGAGAGGUAAGCGGAAUUCCCGGUGUAGCGGUGAAAUGCGUAGAGAUCGGGAGGAACACCGGCGGCGAAGGCGGCUGCCUGGACCAGUCCUGACGCUGAGGCGCGAAAGCUAGGGGAGCAAACAGG
rnacentral:rRNA from 1 species